rnacentral:rRNA from 1 species
CAAUAGCGUAUAUUAAAGUUGUUGCAGUUAAAAAGCUCGUAGUUGGAUUUGUGGCGUAUGGUGUGUUCCGGGCACUUGUUGUCUGAGUAACUUGCCAUUGCCAUCCUUGGGUGGAACCUGUGUGGCAUUAGGUUGUCGUGCAGGGGAUGCCCAUCGUUUACUGUGAAAAAAUUAGAGUGUUCAAAGCAGGCUUAUGCCGUUGAAUAUAUUAGCAUGGAAUAAUAAGAUAGGACUUUUUUGCUAUUUUGUUGGUUUGCGCGAGAAGGUAAUGAUUAAUAGGGAUAGUUGGGGGUAUUCGUAUUCCAUUGUCAGAGGUGAAAUUCUUGGAUUUUUGGAAGACGAACUACUGCGAANGNAUUUACNAAGGAUGUUUNCAUUA